rnacentral:rRNA from 1 species
GGAGUUAGCCGGUGCUUCUUCUGUGAGUGAUGUCCUUCCUGCCGGUUAUUGACCCGCAGGCCUUCUUCCUCACUGAAAGUGCUUUACAACCCGAAGGCCUUCUUCACACACGCGGCAUGGCUGGAUCAGGGUUGCCCCCAUUGUCCAAUAUUCCCCACUGCUGCCUCCCGUAGGAGUCUGGGCCGUGUCUCAGUCCCAGUGUGGCUGAUCAUCCUCUCAGACCAGCUACGGAUCGUCGCCUUGGUGAGCCGUUACCUCACCAACCAGCUAAUCCGACAUAGGCCCAUCCGAUAGCGCGAGGCCCGAAGGUCCCCCGCUUUCCCCCGUAGGGCGUAUGCGGUAUUAGCCUGGGUUUCCCCAGGUUAUCCCCCACUACCGGGCAGAUUCCUAUGCAUUACUCACCCGUCCGCCGCUCGCCACCAGGGAGCAAGCUCCCCGUGCUGCCGCUCGACUUGCAUGUGUUAGGCCUGCCGCCAGCGUUCAAUCUGAGCCAGAAUCGAACCCUGA